rnacentral:rRNA from 1 species
AACGAACGCUGGCGGCAUGCCUAACACAUGCAAGUCGAACGGGAUCCUAGCUUGCUAGGUGAGAGUGGCGGACGGGUGAGUAACACGUGGGAAUCUGCCUUUUGGUUCGGGAUAACCGCGGGAAACUGCGGCUAAUACCGAAUGCCCUCGAGAGAGGAAAGAUUUAUCGCCAGAAGAGGAGCCCGCGUCCGAUUAGGUAGUUGGUGGGGUAAAGGCCUACCAAGCCGACGAUCGGUAGCUGGUCUGAGAGGAUGAUCAGCCACACUGGGACUGAGAUACGGCCCAGACUCCUACGGGAGGCAGCAGUGGGGAAUAUUGGACAAUGGGGGCAACCCUGAUCCAGCAAUGCCGCGUGAGUGAUGAAGGCCUUAGGGUUGUAAAGCUCUUUUGCCAGGGAAGAUGAUGACUGUACCUGGAGAAUAAGCCCCGGCUAACUUCGUGCCAGCAGCCACGGUAAU